rnacentral:sRNA from 1 species
GCCAGGCAUGGUGGUGCACGCCUGUAAUCCCAGUGACUCAGGAGGCUGAGAUGAGAGGAUUGCAAGUUUGAGACCAGCCCCAACAAUUUAGCAAGACCAUAUCUCAA